CCCAGUUGACCGCGUGGUAUGAGUGAAACGGCCCUAGGGUUGUAAAGUCCGUUUCGACGGGGAAAGAUAAUGACGGUACCCGUAGAAAGGAAGCCCCGGCUAAACUUCGUGC
rnacentral:rRNA from 1 species